AGAGUUUGAUCAUGGCUCAGAAUGAACGCUGGCGGCGUGCUUUACACAUGCAAGUCGAGCGAGGCGGGGAGCAAUCCCCAGUCGAGCGGCGAACGGGUGAGUAACGCGUGGAUGACCUGCCCUUCAGCGGGGAAUAACCCGGGGAAACUCGGGCUAAUACCGCAUACGACCGAGAGGUGAAAGGGGGCCGCAAGGCUCUCACUGAAGGAGGGGUCCGCGUUCGAUUAGCUAGUUGGUAGGGUAAUGGCCUACCAAGGCGACGAUCGAUAGCCGGCCUGAGAGGGUGAUCGGCCACACUGGAACUGAGACACGGUCCAGACUCCUACGGGAGGCAGCAGUGGGGAAUUUUGCGCAAUGGGCGGAAGCCUGACGCAGCAACGCCGCGUGGAGGAUGAAGGUCUUUGGAUUGUAAACUCCUGUCAGCAGGGAAAAAGGGACUCGACCUCAUACGUUGGGAACUUGAUUGUACCUGCAGAGGAAGCCCCGGCUAACUCUGUGCCAGCAGCCGCGGUAAUACAGAGGGGGCAAGCGUUAUUCGGAAUUAUUGGGCGUAAAGGGCGCGUAGGCGGCUUUGCAAGUGACGGGUGAAAUCCCUCGGCUUAACCGAGGAACUGCCUGUCAGACUGCAUUGCUUGAGUCCGGGAGAGGUGAGUGGAAUUCCCAGUGUAGCGGUGAAAUGCGUAGAUAUUGGGAGGAACACCAGUGGCGAAGGCGGCUCACUGGACCGGAACUGACGCUGAGGCGCGAAAGCGUGGGGAGCAAACAGGAUUAGAUACCCNNGUAGUCC
rnacentral:rRNA from 1 species